rnacentral:rRNA from 1 species
GGAAUUAAGCAUAUAAGUAAGCGGAGGAUAAGAAACUAAAUAGGAUUCCCUCAGUAAUGGCGAAUGAACAGGGAUAAGCUCAGCGUGGAAAUUGGGGCCUGUGGCCUUGAAUUGUAGUCUGGAGAUGUACUGCCAACGGAGGCGCAGAUGUAAGCCUCUUGGAAAAGAGCAUCAACGAGGGUGAGAGUCCCGUUUGUCAUCUGCAGUCCCCCGUGCACGGCGUACCUUCUAAGAGUCACGUUCCUCGGGAUUGGAGCGCAAAGUGGGUGGUAAAUUUCAUCUAAAGCUGAAUAUUGGUUCGAGACCGAUAGCAAACAAGUACCAUGAGGGAAAGGUGAAAAGGACUUUGAAAAGAGAGUUAAAAGUGCCUGAAAUUGCUGAAAGGGAAGCGAACGGAACCAGUUUGUCUUGGUGAGAUUGUUGCGCGCUAUUGUGAUGAUCUGUUGCUUCAGCGCAAGCGUGGCAAUAGGUUUUGAUCAGGACGUGCGCAGUGCUUCUUGCCUUGCGUGUCAACUUCAGUUCGCACUUGAAGAAAACUCCAGGGACAUGGUAGCCUGCCCUUGGGUGUGUGAAUGUGCUUGGCUGAAUUCAUGUGCGUACUGCUUGCUGACUAAAUGGUUCCUUUCGACCCGUCUUGAAACACGGACCAAGGAUUA